GAUGAACCGUGCGAACGUUAUUCGGAAUCAUUGGGCUUAAAGGGCGCGUAGGCGGCGGUGUAAGUUGGAAGUGAAAUCCCAUCGGCUCAACCGUGGAAUUGCUCCCAGUACUGCACUGCUCGAGGGGAUAGGGGUCUGCGGAACUACCGGUGGAGCGGUGAAAUGUGUUGAUAUCGGUGGGAACGCCAGUGGCGAAAGCGGCAGACUUGACCCUUCCUGACGCUGCAGCGCGAAAGCUAGGGGAGCAAACGGG
rnacentral:rRNA from 1 species